rnacentral:tRNA from 1 species
GCCUGGGUGGCUCAGUUGGUUAAGCAACUGACUUCAGCUCAGGACAUGAUCUCGUGGUUUGUGGGUUCAAGUCCCACAUUGGACU